UUUCAUUAUUUGGGUUUCUAUCGGCUGAAACUCCACAUAUAACAUGAAGCUCUUGUUCUUCUUCACCCUCCUCAUAGUGUGCUACUCUGUUAGCAACGCUGCUGAAUGUCUAUACGGUCCAGUCUGCAGUAACCACGCGCUGACCUCAUUCGAAAACGGACAGAUCUACUGCUGUCAGAGUGGAUACCACAACAUUGACACUUCAGUUCAAGACAUUGACGGAUUCACUGAGGUGCAUUGCGUUUGUCACUAGACGGAAUCUGACGUCACACAAUGAAGGAAGUGGAUAGGGCGCAACUACUAAGGGUUUCAUCAAUAAAUGUUUUUAUUAUUU
rnacentral:sRNA from 1 species